AUAAAGACGACAAGAAAGAAGAGUAAGUUUAUUCAAAUCGACAGUGAAUUGGGGAUGGUGAGAACCCAAGAGACAUUGAAUUUACUGAAUAACCCUUUCUUAUGUUUCUAGCUGAAAUGGCUUUGCCAAAGUAGGUUUAGACGUAACCGAUACGUUACCAUCGGCAGAGUAUAGUUGUUUUGUACUCUUAUUGAGGUGGCUUAUUUUUGAUAAGCAACUUGGGUGGUACCGCGAAAGUCUUUCGUCCCUUUU
rnacentral:ncRNA from 1 species